GGAGGGAUGGGUGAGUGGCUGAAACCAACGGUUUGCUAAACCGUCCUAGGGGGUUAACCCUUAGCGCGGGUUCGAAUCCCGCUCCCUCCG
rfam:Magnetospirillum sp. 64-120 scnpilot_p_inoc_scaffold_537, whole genome shotgun sequence.